rnacentral:rRNA from 1 species
GAUGAACGCUGGCGGCGUGCCUAAUACAUGCAAGUCGAGCGAACAGACGAGGAGCUUGCUCCUCUGACGUUAGCGGCGGACGGGUGAGUAACACGUGGAUAAUCUACCUAUAAGACUGGGAUAACUUCGGGAAACCGGAGCUAAUACCGGAUAAUAUAUUGAACAGCAUGGUUCAAUAGUGAAAGACGGGUUUGCUGUCACUUAUAGAUGGAUCCGCGCCGCAUUAGCUAGUUGGUAAGGUAACGGCUUACCAAGGCAACGAUGCGUAGCCGACCUGAGAGGGUGACCGGCCCCACUUGAACUGGUACCCGGUCCAGAAUACUACGGUAGGCACCACUAGGAAAUCUUCCGCGAUGGGCGAAAGCCUGACGGAACAGCGCAGCGUGAUUAAUGAAACUCUACGGAUCGUAAAACUCUGUUUUUUGGGAGGAACAAAUUUGAAAAUUACUAUGCCCGUCUUGACGGUACCUAAUCAGAAAGCCACGGCUAACUACGUG